rnacentral:lncRNA from 1 species
AAGGCUACAAUGACAUCAGGCAACAUGAGCAGCGAUGAAGAGAGGAGUAUGAGAGAGUGCGAGCAGUACGUGCAGAAACACAACAUCCAGCAGCUGCUGAAGGACUGCAUCGUCCAGCUGUGCACCUCGCGGCCAGACCGGCCAAUGGCUUUCCUCAAAGAGUACUUUGACAGACUGGAAAAGGAGGAGAGCAUGCAGAUGCUGCUGCAGCAGAAGGCCUCGGGCUCCCGCUCGGACUCCCGCUCGGACUCCCGCUCGGAGGAGGUCUCCCCCCCAUGAACCCCGUGGUGCGGGGGCGCCGCCGCCGCGGGGCCAUCAGCGCCGAGGGGUACAACGAGGAGGACGCCGCCUCCUACGUCAGAAAGCUGAUAUAUCAGAGCCGACUCCUGAGAGCAGACGUAUCUAAAGCUGUCAGGGAGGAACCAUGGCUACCAUCUCUGAACCGGACCCUGGACUCUCUGAGGAACCUGGGGACGCGUCUUUGGACCGGAGGGAGCGCAGGAAGAGAAGAUUUGCUGGUAGAGCAAAGAAGAAGGCUAAGUCCAGACGCCGUGGAAGCCGUCAGAGAGUAACAAUGGUCACCAUCUCUGAACCGGACCCUGGACUCUCUGAGGACCCUGAGGACACGUCUUUGGACCGGGAGGAGACCAGGAAGAGAAGAUUUGCUCUCUGGUUUCACAUCACUGUCAUUGUGAGCAUCGGACUGCUGAGUAUUCUUCUCAUCUCCCUGCGCUUCAGUGAGUCUAAAUCAUAUCCUCCUAAAUAG